UACAGAGGUCUCGAGCGUUGUUCGGAUUCAUUGGGCGUAAAGGGCGCGUAGGCGGCGCCGUAAGUCGGGUGUGAAAUUUCGGAGCUUAACUCCGAAACUGCAUUCGAUACUGCGGUGCUUGAGGACUGGAGAGGAGACUGGAAUUCAUGGUGUAGCAGUGAAAUGCGUAGAGAUCAUGAGGAAGACCAGUGGCGAAGGCGGGUCUCUGGACAGUUCCUGACACUGAGACACGAAGGCCAGGGGAGCAAACGGG
rnacentral:rRNA from 1 species